CCUACGGGCGGCAGCAGUGGGGAAUAUUGCACAAUGGGGGAAACCCUGAUGCAGCGACGCCGCGUGAGUGAAGAAGUAUUUCGGUACGUAAAGCUCUAUCAGCAGGGAAGAAAAUGACGGUACCUGACUAAGAAGCCCCGGCUAACUACGUGCCAGCAGCCGCGGUAAUACGUAGGGGGCAAGCGUUAUCCGGAUUUACUGGGUGUAAAGGGAGCGUAGACGGCAGCGCAAGUCUGGAGUGAAAUCCCAUGGCUUAACCAUGGAACUGCUUUGGAAACUGUGCAGCUAGAGUGCAGGAGAGGUAAGCGGAAUUCCUAGUGUAGCGGUGAAAUGCGUAGAUAUUAGGAGGAACACCAGUGGCGAAGGCGACUUACUGGACUGUAACUGACGUUGAGGCUCGAAAGCGUGGGGAGCAAACAGGAUUAGAUACCCCAGUAGUC
rnacentral:rRNA from 1 species